AUUGAACGCUGGCGGCAUGCCUUACACAUGCAAGUCGAACGGCAGCAUAGGAGCUUGCUCCUGAUGGCGAGUGGCGAACGGGUGAGUAAUAUAUCGGAACGUGCCCGAGAGUGGGGGAUAACUAGUCGAAAGACUAGCUAAUACCGCAUACGAUCUACGGAUGAAAGUGGGGGAUUGCAAGACCUCAUGCUCCUGACGCGGCCGAUAUCUGAUUAGCUAGUUGGUGGGGUAAAAGCUCACCAAGGCGACGAUCAGUAGCUGGUCUGAGAGGACGACCAGCCAGACUGGGACUGGGACACGGCCCAGACUCCUACGGGAGACAGCAGUGGAGAAUUUUGGACAAUGGGGGAAACCCUGAUCCAGCAAGGCCGCGUGAGUGAAGAAGGCCUUCGGGUUGUAAAGCUCUUUUGUCAGGGAAGAAACGGUUCUGGAUAAUACCUGGGACUAAUGACGGUACCUGAAGAAUAAGCACCGGCUAACUACGUGCCAGCCGCCGCAGUAA
rnacentral:rRNA from 1 species